CAGCAGCCGCGGUAAUACGUAGGUGGCGAGCGUUGUCCGGAUUUACUGGGCGUAAAGAGCGCGCAGGCGGUCGUGCAAGUCGCGUGUGAAAUCCCCGGGCUCAACCUGGGAACUGCAUUUGUGACUGCAUCGCUGGAGAGCGGCAGAGGGGGAUGGAAUUCCGCGUGUAGCAGUGAAAUGCGUAGAUAUGCGGAGGAACACCGAUGGCGAAGGCAAUCCCCUGGGCCUGCACUGACGCUCAUGCACGAAAGCGUGGGGAGCAAACAGGAUUAGAUACCCUGGUAGUCCACGCCCUAAACGAUGUCAACUGGUUGUUGGGAAUUCACUUUCUCAGUAACGAAGCUAACGCGCGAAGUUGACCGCCUGGGGAGUACGGCCGCAAGGUUGAAACUCAAAGGA
rnacentral:rRNA from 1 species